rnacentral:rRNA from 1 species
UGAGGAAUAUUGGUCAAUGGGCGGAAGCCUGAACCAGCCAAGUCGCGUGAGGGAAGACGGUCCUAUGGAUUGUAAACCCCUUUUGCAGGGGAGCAAGCCCUGUUACGAGUAACAGGUUGGAGAGUACCCUGAGAAAAAGCAUCGGCUAACUCCGUGCCAGCAGCCGCGGUAAUACGGAGGAUGCGAGCGUUAUCCGGAUUUAUUGGGUUUAAAGGGUGCGUAGGCGGGCUGGUAAGUCAGCGGUAAAAAAUGCGGUGCUCAACGCCGUAGUGCCGUUGAAACUGCCGGUCUUGAGUGAGCGAGAAGUAUGCGGAAUGCGUGGUGUAGCGGUGAAAUGCAUAGAUAUCACGCAGAACUCCGAUUGCGAAGGCAGCAUACCGGCGCUCAACUGACGCUGAGGCACGAAAGCGUGGGGAUCGAACAGGAUUAGAUACC